rnacentral:rRNA from 1 species
UGGUGGAGUGAUUUGUCUGCCUAAUCGCGAUAACGAACGAGACCUUAACCUGCUAAAUAGCCCACGUUACUUAGGUAGCGCGCUGGCUUCUUAGAGGGACUAUCGGCUCAAGCCGAUGGAAGUUUGAGGCAAUAACA